GUUGUAUGGUUAAGUGACUAAGCGUACACGGUGGAUGCCUGGGCAGUCAGAGGCGAUGAAGGACGUACUAACUUGCGAUAAGCGCAGAUAAGGCAGUAAGAGCCGUUUGAGUCUGCGAUUUCCGAAUGGGGAAACCCAACUGCAUAAGCAGUUACUGUUAACUGAAUACAUAGGUUAACAGAGCAAACCGGGGGAACUGAAACAUCUAAGUACCCCGAGGAGAAGAAAUCAACCGAGAUUCCGGUAGUAGCGGCGAGCGAACCUGGAUUAGCCCUUAAGCACUCGGUGAAGUAGGUGAACAAGCUGGAAAGCUUGGCGAUACAGGGUGAUAGCCCCGUAACCGACGCUUCAUCGAGCGUGAAAUCGAGUAGGGCGGGACACGUGAUAUCCUGUCUGAAUAUGGGGGGACCAUCCUCCAAGGCUAAAUACUCCUGACUGACCGAUAGUGAACCAGUACCGUGAGGGAAAGGCGAAAAGAACCCCUGUGAGGGGAGUGAAAUAGAACCUGAAACCGUGUACGUACAAGCAGUAGGAGCACCUUCGUGGUGUGACUGCGUACCUUUUGUAUAAUGGGUCAGCGACUUAUAUUCAGUGGCAAGGUUAACCGUAUAGGGGAGCCGUAGCGAAAGCGAGUCUUAACUGGGCGCUCAGUCUCUGGAUAUAGACCCGAAACCGGGUGAUCUAGCCAUGGGCAGGUUGAAGGUUGAGUAACAUCAACUGGAGGACCGAACCGACUAAUGUUGAAAAAUUAGCGGAUGACUUGUGGCUAGGGGUGAAAGGCCAAUCAAACUCGGAGAUAGCUGGUUCUCCCCGAAAGCUAUUUAGGUAGCGCCUCGGACGAAUACUACUGGGGGUAGAGCACUGUUAAGGCUAGGGGGUCAUCCCGACUUACCAACCCUUUGCAAACUCCGAAUACCAGUAAGUACUAUCCGGGAGACACACGGCGGGUGCUAACGUCCGUCGUGGAGAGGGAAACAACCCAGACCGCCAGCUAAGGUCCCAAAGUAUUGCUAAGUGGGAAACGAUGUGGGAAGGCUCAGACAGCUAGGAUGUUGGCUUAGAAGCAGCCAUCAUUUAAAGAAAGCGUAAUAGCUCACUAGUCGAGUCGGCCUGCGCGGAAGAUGUAACGGGGCUAAGCAAUACACCGAAGCUGCGGCAAUGUCUUUUAGACAUUGGGUAGGGGAGCGUUCUGUAAGCCGUUGAAGGUGAAUCGUAAGGUUUGCUGGAGGUAUCAGAAGUGCGAAUGCUGACAUGAGUAACGACAAAGGGGGUGAAAAACCUCCUCGCCGGAAGACCAAGGGUUCCUGUCCAACGUUAAUCGGGGCAGGGUGAGUCGACCCCUAAGGUGAGGCCGAAAGGCGUAAUCGAUGGGAAACGGGUUAAUAUUCCCGUACUUCUGACUAUUGCGAUGGGGGGACGGAGAAGGCUAGGUGGGCCAGGCGACGGUUGUCCUGGUUCAAGUGCGUAGGCUUGAGAGUUAGGUAAAUCCGGCUCUCUCUAAGGCUGAGACACGACGUCGAGCUACUACGGUAGUGAAGUCAUUGAUGCCAUGCUUCCAGGAAAAGCCUCUAAGCUUCAGAUAGUCAGGAAUCGUACCCCAAACCGACACAGGUGGUCGGGUAGAGAAUACCAAGGCGCUUGAGAGAACUCGGGUGAAGGAACUAGGCAAAAUGGUACCGUAACUUCGGGAGAAGGUACGCUCUUGAUGGUGAAGUCCCUCGCGGAUGGAGCUGACGAGAGUCGCAGAUACCAGGUGGCUGCAACUGUUUAUUAAAAACACAGCACUGUGCAAAAUCGCAAGAUGACGUAUACGGUGUGACGCCUGCCCGGUGCCGGAAGGUUAAUUGAUGGGGUUAGCGCAAGCGAAGCUCUUGAUCGAAGCCCCGGUAAACGGCGGCCGUAACUAUAACGGUCCUAAGGUAGCGAAAUUCCUUGUCGGGUAAGUUCCGACCUGCACGAAUGGCGUAAUGAUGGCCACGCUGUCUCCACCCGAGACUCAGUGAAAUUGAAAUCGCUGUGAAGAUGCAGUGUACCCGCGGCUAGACGGAAAGACCCCGUGAACCUUUACUACAGCUUGGCACUGAACAUUGAACCUACAUGUGUAGGAUAGGUGGGAGGCUAUGAAGACGUGACGCCAGUUGCGUUGGAGCCGUCCUUGAAAUACCACCCUUGUAUGUUUGAUGUUCUAACUUAGACCCGUUAUCCGGGUUGAGGACAGUGCCUGGUGGGUAGUUUGACUGGGGCGGUCUCCUCCCAAAGAGUAACGGAGGAGCACAAAGGUGGGCUAAUCACGGUUGGACAUCGUGAGGUUAGUGCAAUGGCAUAAGCCCGCUUAACUGCGAGAAUGACGGUUCGAGCAGGUGCGAAAGCAGGUCAUAGUGAUCCGGUGGUUCUGUAUGGAAGGGCCAUCGCUCAACGGAUAAAAGGUACUCCGGGAUAACAGGCUGAUACCGCCCAAGAGUUCAUAUCGACGGCGGUGUUUGGCACCUCGAUGUCGGCUCAUCACAUCCUGGGGCUGAAGUCGGUCCCAAGGGUAUGGCUGUUCGCCAUUUAAAGUGGUACGCGAGCUGGGUUUAGAACGUCGUGAGACAGUUCGGUCCCUAUCUGCCGUGGGCGUUGGAAGAUUGAAGGGGGCUGCUCCUAGUACGAGAGGACCGGAGUGGACGAACCUCUGGUGUUCGGGUUGUGUCGCCAGACGCAUUGCCCGGUAGCUAAGUUCGGAAUUGAUAAGCGCUGAAAGCAUCUAAGCGCGAAGCGAGCCCUGAGAUGAGUCUUCCCUGACAGUUUAACUGUCCUAAAGGGUUGUUCGAGACUAGAACGUUGAUAGGCAGGGUGUGUAAGCGUUGUGAGGCGUUGAGCUAACCUGUACUAAUUGCCCGUGAGGCUUAACCAUACAACACCCAAGGGGUUUUGUA
rnacentral:rRNA from 1 species